rnacentral:rRNA from 1 species
UAAGGGCUUACUGUAUGACCUAAAUAUCUGAUGAGGAAAUUCAGCAUUAUUGUGCCAGAUGAUGGUACAAUGGUGUGCACUUUUCUUCUAGUAAGACGUUGCGAUCCAUUAGAAAAUUUAUUUAAAUCUGGAUAUAGGCCCCAAUAAGAAUUUAUGCUAUAAACCAAUAACAUGACUUUGUUGUUAUGUGAAUGGCUGGAAACUAUUUGGUGGUCUUACCGAUGUCUGAAGGGAUUAAGAAUAUUUGUCCCAAACCAUUCCCUGGGAAUUGAUAUCUCUUGGGGAUAUUAUGGCUACAUUAACCACAACGUUUUAAAUUUAAGAUACCCUCCGGACCCCUCUUGAAACCCGGACCAAGAAAUCUAACUUGUAUGCAAGUCAUGGGAUUAUUAAAACCUAUAGGCGAAAUGAAUUACUUGUUAUGGGAUUACAAUGUACAUUAUCUAUUUUUCCUCCCCGGUAUCUAUGUAAUACUGCAUUUCGGUUGUGUGUACUACAAGAUAUACCGUGAGAUACAGCUGUGACCCGAAAGAUGGUGACUAUGCCUGAUAGGUGGAGUCAGGGAACCCUGAUGAAGACGUACCAUUCUGACUGCAAUCCAUUGCCAAGUUGGUAAGGGCGAAGACCAUCGAACAUCAGUAACUGUUCUCUUCCGAA